UUGAAACACAAAUGAUUGACAAGAGUAAAUAUGUUUAUAUUCCUUCAAUAGAAGUUCUUAUUUUCGAUGAUGUAAUCAUUCGGAAUAGAAAACAUUUAUUUCGAAAUAUGUUUUUCCAGUUAUAGAUCGAAUUUUUAAUUUUUUUUUUCAUUUUAUUAUCUUAUUAGUUGAGGACGAAAAAUAUAAACAUGUCAAUUUAAAAUACUUCUAGCUUAUUAAUGUUAUUCAUGUUGUACUUUCUCAUUGAUAAAAUUGCUGCUUUGAAUUCCAUGGGUUCCAUAUUCAAAAGUAAUUUCUUUAAAUCAUUUUAUUUAUUACAGCGCAAUUAGAAUUUUUUCAAAUGUACAUUCAAAUACACAGUAUGAAAUGAUGGGUAAUAAUUUUGAUAAACAACGUAUGAAAACAAAUUGUCAAAUUUCAUUAGAAGGAAAAUCUGUUGAAGUUUUUCCGUACCGUCAACAGAAAGAAUAAGCAAAACACUGACGUGAAGUCAGGCGCCCUUGAAGACCAUAUAUACCUAUAUUAAGUUGUGUGGUCUUCAAGGGCGCAAUUAGAAUAGGAAUGAACGAGUGCUCAAAAUCUCUUGACUUUACGUCAAUGCUUUUAAUAUUUUUUUUCGAUAUUGGUCGCUAUCAACACGAUUCAAUUGAUUGUUAUAUACAAGGUGUUUCAAAAUUCAGUAUCAAAAUUUCAGGGACGUAUUUUUCAGGUCAAAAUAAAUUUUUUUUCCAUAAAAAUAUGUCCGCAAACGCUUCGUUAACGAACUACAGAGUGAUAAAGUUUCAAGAUUUCUUUAGUGUUUUCGUAUUAUCUCUUCCAGUUAAAAGCUAUUAGAAUCAAAUUUGAAAUAUAGAUUACGUUUUAUGGUUAACAUCAUCGAGUAUGCUGAGUGACUAUAACAAUCUAUAAGAAGAUAUUUCAUUUAGACCUUCAGCUUCCUCACCCAUUCCAUUUUUUAAUUAUUAUUAUCUAUUGAAUUCAAAGUCUAAAAACCGAGGUGAGGAUCGAAAAAAAUAUAGUGGCAAUAUUUCUUACGAUGAAAGACACUAAUAUAAAUUUGAAUGAAUACCUAAUCUAAUACAUAUUUUGUGUUUCAUUGGUCAAUGCCAGAUACUAUUUUGACUAAUAUAAUACGUAUCCCUUCAGUGCCAGAAUGACAUAUUUGACAGAAAAAAUGUACAAAUUUUCGGUCCGGUGAGUGAUAUCUACCGAUUCAGAAAAUAUUGCUCCUAAGCAGAAAAGCGAAUAAAAAAAUACCCUUAUUAUUUUAUAAUUAGGCCAAAAUUCCAAGGAAUCAGUUGAAUACACUAUAUUUAAUCUUUUCAUAUCAAUUCGAGACAUAUGUGUUUAACAAAGCAAGAAAUAUUGCUGGGACCCUUGUUGAAACAAUAAGCAUCUCCUGAAUAAAUGAAUAUCACAAAAUGUCUCCCCCUAAAUACAAAUUGACCUGUUUCGUGGUAUAUGGAACUAUAUGAAAUAAUAAUGUUCGAGAAAAACCAGAAGAUGUGUAAAAGGAAUGUUCCAUCCAGAAUAUCCCCCCAGUUGAAGUACAUAUGUGAGAAGAGAUUAAUUGGCUACCCGUAUGUUAACUCAAUAGUCGAUGUUAAUGGCCGUUAUUUCAUGUUGUGCGUUAAAUGGUCCCAUAAAGAUGGAAUUCAUUGAGAACUGGUGUGAACAAACCGAGAAAUUUUAAAAAAGUUUUUAUUCAUAAGUUCAAUUAAGUCUAUUAUAUUAUACUGAUGGUCUUUUG